UACGUAGGGUGCAAGCGUUAAUCGGAAUUACUGGGCGUAAAGCGUGCGCAGGCGGUUCGGAAAGAAAGAUGUGAAAUCCCAGAGCUUAACUUUGGAACUGCAUUUUUAACUACCGAGCUAGAGUGUGUCAGAGGGAGGUGGAAUUCCGCGUGUAGCAGUGAAAUGCGUAGAUAUGCGGAGGAACACCGAUGGCGAAGGCAGCCUCCUGGGACAACACUGACGCUCAUGCACGAAAGCGUGGGGAGCAAAC
rnacentral:rRNA from 2 species